GAUGAAGAACGCAGCGAAAUGGGAUAAGUAAUGUGAAUUGCAGAAUUCAGUGAAUCAUCGAAUCUUUGAACGCACAUUGCGCCCGCCAGCACUCUGGCGGGCAUGCCUGUUCGAGCGUCAUUUCAACCAUCAAGCCCCCAGGGGCUUGUGCUGGGGCCCUGCGGCUGCCCGCAGGCCCUGAAAACCAGUGGCGGGCUCGCUAGUCACACCGAGCGCAGUAGCACAUCUCGCUCAGGGCGUGCGGCGGGCUCCUGCCGUGAAACCCCCCACUGUAACCCCAAAGGUUGACCUCGGAUCAGCUAGGAAUACCCGCUGAACUUAAGCAUAUCAAUAAGCGGAGG
rnacentral:misc_RNA from 1 species